rnacentral:rRNA from 1 species
UACGAAGGGGGCUAGCGUUGCUCGGAAUUACUGGGCGUAAAGGGCGCGUAGGCGGACAGUUAAGUUGGGGGUGAAAGCCCGGGGCUCAACCUCGGAAUUGCCUUCAAUACUGGCUGUCUUGAGUUCGGGAGAGGUGAGUGGAAUGCCGAGUUGUAGAGGUGAAAUUCGUAGAUAUUCGGCGGAACACCAGUGGCGAAGGCGACUCACUGGCCCGAUACUGACGCUGAGGCGCGAAAGCGUGGGGAGCAAACAGGG